UAUAGUUAUCUUUAUUGAAGUGAAUUAGUGAGCCUGGUCAGUACCUGGAUGGGAGACCUCCUGGGAAAACUAGGUUGCUGCUGGAA
rnacentral:rRNA from 1 species